GAUGAAGAACGUAGCGAACUGCGAUAAGUAAUGUGAAUUGCAGAAUUCAGUGAAUCAUCGAGUCUUUGAACGCACAUUGCGCCCCCUGGCAUUCCGGGGGGCAUGCCUGUCCGAGCGUCAUUGCUGCCCUUCAAGCCCGGCUUGUGUGUUGGGUCGUCGUCCCCCCCGGGGGACGGGCCCGAAAGGCAGCGGCGGCACCGCGUCCGGUCCUCGAGCGUAUGGGGCUUUGUCACCCGCUCGAUUAGGGCCGGCCGGGCGCCAGCCGGCGUCUCCAACCUUCUAUUUUACCAGGUUGACCUCGGAUCAGGUAGGGAUACCCGCUGAACUUAAGCAUGUCAAUAAGCGGAGGA
rnacentral:misc_RNA from 1 species